GUAGGGAAUAUUGGACAAUGGGCGAAAGCCUGAUCCAGCAACGCCGCGUGCGCGAUGAAGGCCUUCGGGUUGUAAAGCGCUUUUCGGGGGGAUGAGGAAGGACAGUACCCCCGGAAUAAGUCUCGGCUAACUACGUGCCAGCAGCCGCGGUAAAACGUAGGAGGCAAGCGUUAUCCGGAUUUACUGGGCGUAAAGCGCGUGCAGGCGGUUCGGUAAGUCGGACGUGAAAGCUCCUGGCUCAACUGGGAGAGGCCGUUCGAUACUACCGAACUAGAGGGCAGGAGAGGGAGGUGGAAUUCCGGGUGUAGCGGUGAAAUGCGUAGAUAUCCGGAGGAACACCAGUGGCGAAGGCGGCCUCCUAGUCUGCCCCUGACGCUCAGACGCGAAAGCUAGGGGAGCGAACGGGAUUAGAAACCCCGGUAGUCC
rnacentral:rRNA from 1 species